GACCUCCUGGGAAGGCCUCGUGUUGCAACCC
rnacentral:rRNA from 2 species